ensembl:rRNA 5S_rRNA 5S ribosomal RNA
CUCUACGACCAUACCAACCUGAACACGCCCGAUCUCGUCUGAUCUUGGAAGCUAAGCAGGGUCGGGCCUGGUUAGUACUUGGAUGGGAGAAGAGGAGCCUCAACUCAGUAGCAGGGGCUGGAGGAUGUGGAGG